rnacentral:rRNA from 1 species
UACGUAGGGGGCAAGCGUUGUCCGGAAUCAUUGGGCGUAAAGCGCGUGUAGGCGGCUCGAUAAGUCUGCUGUGAAAGUCCAGGGCUCAACCCUGGGAUGCCGGUGGAUACUGUCGGGCUAGAGUGCGGAAGAGGCGAGUGGAAUUCCUGGUGUAGCGGUGAAAUGCGCAGAUAUCAGGAGGAACACCAAUUGCGAAGGCAGCUCGCUGGGACGUUACUGACGCUGAGACGCGAAAGCGUGGGGAGCAAACAGG